rnacentral:rRNA from 1 species
GAUGAACGCUAGCGGCAGGCUUAAUACAUGCAAGUCGAGGGGCAGCAGCUUUAUAGCAAUAUAGAGGCUGGCGACCGGCAAACGGGUGCGGAACACGUACACAACCUUCCUUUAAGAGGGGGACAGCCCAUAGAAAUGUGGAUUAAUACCCCGUAACAUAUCGGUGUGGCAUCACACUGUUAUUAUAGUUUCGACGCUUGAAGAUGGGUGUGCGGCUGAUUAGGUAGUUGGCGGGGUAAAGGCCCACCAAGCCUUCGAUCAGUAGCUGAUGUGAGAGCAUGAUCAGCCACACGGGCACUGAGACGCGGGCCCGACUCCUACGGGAGGCAGCAGUAAGGAAUAUUGGUCAAUGGACGCAAGUCUGAACCAGCCAUGCCGCGUGAAGGAUGAAGGUCCUCUGGAUUGUAAACUUCUUUUAUAGGGGGCGAAAAAAGGGAAUUCUUUCUCACUUGACAGUACCCUAUGAAUAAGCACCGGCUAACUCCGUGCCAGCCGCCGCCGUAA